GACGAACGCUGGCGGCGUGCUUAACACAUGCAAGUCGAACGGAAAGGCCCUGCUUUUGUGGGGUGCUCGAGUGGCGAACGGGUGAGUAACACGUGAGUAUCCUGCCCUUGACUUUGGGAUAACUUCAGGAAACUGGGGCUACUACCGGAUAGGAGCUCCUGCUGCAUGGUGGGGGUUGGAUCGUUUCGGCGGUUGGGGAUGGACUCGCGGCUUAUCAGCUUGUUGGUGGGGUAGUGGCUUACCAAGGCUUUGACGGGUAGGCGGCCUGAGAGGGUGACCGGCGACAUUGGGACUGAGAGACGGACCAGACUGGUACGGGAGGCAACAGGGGGGAAUAUGGCACAAUGGGCGGAAGUCGGAUGCAGAAACGCCGCGGGCGGGAUGACGGCCUGCGGGUUGUAAACCGCUUUCGCCUGUGACGAAGCGGGAGUGACGGCAAUGGGUAAAGAAGCACCGGCUAACUACGUG
rnacentral:rRNA from 1 species